CGACUGUGUGGCCUGGGCCGCCUCCCCACUCCAAAAAUAAACUUUGGGAAAACAGUGCACUCCAGAGUCCAGCAAUGUCGGAUUUGGGGAAAUUCCUGGCCACCAGGGCAGACGGCCAUGGGUCAGUGACUGACUGAUAUGCUCUAUUGCAAGGACCGGAGCGUACAUUGUUGAUGAGGCUGGACUGGGUGUGGGAAGACCAAGUCCUAGCUCUGGGUCUUAUUGGCCUAACCCAAGCAGCUUCCCCCUAAAGUUCAGUGCCCAGGUCUCUGAAACAAGAAGCAGAAACCUACCUCACAGUAUGAGAGCUGAGAGCAAUAAUCAGUGAGAACUGGGGACAGAUCCCAGCAACUCAGCCAAGCCCCACCCUCUGUCCUGUCGCUAGGAAGGUGGGGGCGGGGCCACCUCACGCCGGCCUCUGCGAUGUUCUUUUUGAAACACUUGUCACUUUUUCCUCAAGAUUCUGACUCUCCGGUCAGAAGAUCCUCCUUGCUUGCCCCAGGCCUCUCACAGUAGAGGUUUUGACUUAAACAGUGCAGGGUCCUCAGGUGCUCGGAAACUGAGGCCCACCCGCGCCCAUUAAACGUUAUACCGAGAAGCUGAAGAAAUGGCUCGGAGACUAAGAGCUCAUCUUCCGGAGGACCCAAGUUCACCCACAUGGUGGCUCCUAAGCCCCGGAUGCCCUCUGGAGGCAUGGGUCUCCGCCCACUCCUGAGGCCUCGCUGACUGCACACAGUGGGUGCUGAAAAAGUGUCCCUUGAGUGGCCAGAGCGGACCUCAGGUGACCAGACCCCAGGAGCGUCCACGCCUGGCCAAGCCGCCACACCCCGAUCCUGGCCGGAGCCUCUCACCUGGGCCGGGUGUCCCCCGCCCCCCGGGCCGC